rnacentral:ncRNA from 1 species
GUGGAUGCCGGAGAUGGCAUUCCUCCGGUCGCCGAGCCCCGUCAUGUGCGGUGCCACCGCGACAAACCGCCUGGCGUGAUCCGAGACCAUGACGUCUCGACCACCGGCCGCCAGCGCUAAUGAUGCCUGCCAACGC